rnacentral:rRNA from 1 species
CCUACGGGGGGCUGCAGUGGGGAAUCUUCCGCAAUGGGCGAAAGCCUGACGGAGCAACGCCGCGUGAACGAUGAAGGUCUUAGGAUCGUAAAGUUCUGUUGUUAGGGACGAAGGGUAAGAAUCAUAAUAAGGUUUUUAUUUGACGGUACCUAACGAGGAAGCCACGGCUAACUACGUGCCAGCAGCCGCGGUAAUACGUAGGCGGCAAGCGUUGUCCGGAAUUAUUGGGCGUAAAGGGAGCGCAGGCGGGAAACUAAGCGGAUCUUAAAAGUGCGGGGCUCAACCCCGUGAUGGGGUCCGAACUGGUUUUCUUGAGUGCAGGAGAGGAAAGCGGAAUUCCCAGUGUAGCGGUGAAAUGCGUAGAUAUUGGGAAGAACACCAGUGGCGAAGGCGGCUUUCUGGACUGUAACUGACGCUGAGGCUCGAAAGCUAGGGUAG